rnacentral:rRNA from 1 species
GAACUUAAGCAUAUCAAUAAGCGGAGGAAAAGAAACUAACCAAGGAUUCCCCUAGUAACGGCGAGUGAAGCGGGAAGAGCUCAAAUUUGUAAUCUGGCGGCCUUUGGCCGUCCGAGUUGUAGUCUGGAGAAGUGUCUUCCGCGCCGGACCGUGUACAAGUCCCUUGGAACAGGGCGUCAUAGAGGGUGAGAAUCCCGUCUUUGACACGGACCGCCGGUGCUUUGUGAUGCGCUCUCGAAGAGUCGAGUUGUUUGGGAAUGCAGCUCAAAAUGGGUGGUAAAUUCCAUCUAAAGCUAAAUAUUGGCGAAAGACCGAUAGCGAACAAGUACCGUGAGGGAAAGAUGAAAAGCACUUUGGAAAGAGAGUUAAACAGUACGUGAAAUUGUUGAAAGGGAAACGAUUGGAGUCAGUCGCGUCUGUCGGGAUUCAGCCGAGCUCGCAUCUGCUAAGCUUGGUGUAUUUCCUGGCGUGACGGGCCAGCGUCAAUUUGGCCCCUCGGAGAAGGGCUGGGGGAAUGUGGCACCCUCCAAUGGGGGGUGUGUUAUAGCCCCCGGGUGUAUACGAUGGGCUGGAUUGAGGAUCGCAGUGCGCCUUUAUGGUCCGGGGUUCGCCCACGUAACGCGCUUAGGAUGCUGGCGUAAUGGCUUCAAACGACCGUCUUG